UUGCACUAUACUAGCUGAAGAAAUGGGGGUUGCAUAACUUUGCCAUAUUCUAAAAAUAAAGAUGUGGGCAGCUUAUAUCAUCCAAAAAAGGGUGGAGCCUAAUGAUAUUUGAUGGAGCGACCUAUUCUAACUAACUGACUUAGUUCACAUGUCAAAUAGUUAUAGAACUGUUGCUUUUUAAUUUUUUUUGUUAUUAAUAUAGAG
rnacentral:lncRNA from 1 species